rnacentral:rRNA from 1 species
UGGGGAAUAUUGGACACUGGGGGCAACCCUGAUCCAGCCAUGCCGCGUGAGUGAUGAAGGCCUUAGGGUUGUAAAGCUCUUUCGCACGCGACGAUGAUGACGGUAGCGUGAGAAGAAGCCCCGGCUAACUUCGUGCCAGCAGCCGCGGUAAUACGAAGGGGGCAAGCGUUGUUCGGAAUUACUGGGCGUAAAGGGCGCGUAGGCGGUCGGCCACGUCAGAGGUGAAAGCCCCGGGCUCAACCUGGGAGGUGCCUUUGAUACGGGCUGGCUUGAGAACGGGAGAGGAGUGUGGAAUUCCCAGUGUAGAGGUGAAAUUCGUAGAUAUUGGGAAGAACACCGGUGGCGAAGGCGGCACUCUGGCCCGAUUCUGACGCUGAGGCGCGAAAGCGUGGGGAGCAAACAGGAUUAGAUACCCCGGUAGUCC